rnacentral:rRNA from 1 species
UACGUAGGGUGCGAGCGUUAAUCGGAUUCACUGGGUUUAAAGGGUGCGUAGGUGGCUUUGUAAGUCAGUGGUGAAAUCUCGGAGCUUAACUCCGAAACUGCCAUUGAUACUGCUUAGCUUGAAUCAGGUAGAGGUGGAUGGAAUAUUACAUGUAGCGGUGAAAUGCUUAGAUAUGUAAUAGAACACCGAUUGCGAAGGCAGUUCACUAUGCCUGCAUUGACACUGAGGCACGAAAGCGUGGGGAUCAAACAGG